rnacentral:lncRNA from 1 species
UGUUCUGAUGUUUCAGAUAUUGGCCAUGUUUCGGAUGGACUCCCACUGCUACUACAACCAUUCUUAUUCGGAGCAUUUUUAGAAGAUCCUACAUGUCCCCAAUCAUCUGUAAACUCUAAAAAAGAGGUAAUUAAAAUUAUGAUUGAAAUUUAUUUACUUCAGUGGAUUUAAAAAAAAUAACCUUUGCCACUGCUACUACAACAAUUCUUAUUCGGAGCAUUUUUAGAAGAUCCUACAUAUCCCCAAUCAUCUGUAAGACCUAAAAAGGGUAGUUAAGUUAUGAUUAAAAUUUAUUUACCUCAGUAGAGUUUAAAAAGAGAAUAACCUUUGCCACUGCUACUACAAAAAUUCUUAUUCGGAGCAUUUUUAGAAGAUCCCACAUGUCCCCAAUCAUCUGUAAAAUAUAUAAAAAGGGUAGUUAAGUUAUGAUUGAAAUUUAUUUACCUCAGUAGAGUUUAAAAAGAGAAUAACCUUUGCCACUGCUACUAUAAAAAUUCUUAUUUGGAGCAUUUUUAGAAGAUCCUACAUGUCCCCAAUCAUCUGUAAAAUCUAAAAAAAAGGUAGUUAAGUUGUGAUUAAUUUUUUUUACCUCAGUAGAGUUUAAAAAGAUAAUAACCUUUGCCACUGCUACUACAAAAAUUCUUAUUCGGAGCAUUUUUAGAAGAUCCCACAUGUCCCCAAUCAUCUGUAAAAUAUAUAAAAAGGGUAGUUAAGUUAUGAUUGAAAUUUAUUUACCUCAGUAGAGUUUAAAAAGAGAAUAACCUUUGCCACUGCUACUAUAAAAAUUCUUAUUUGGAGCAUUUUUAGAAGAUCCUACAUGUCCCCAAUCAUCUGUAAAAUCUAAAAAAAAGGUAGUUAAGUUGUGAUUAA